UACGAAGGGGGCGAGCGUUGUUCGGAAUUACUGGGCGUAAAGGGCGCGUAGGCGGCCCUGUCAGUCAGAUGUGAAAGCCCCGGGCUCAACCUGGGAACCGCAUUUGAUACUGCAGGGCUUGAGUUCCGGAGAGGAUGGUGGAAUUCCCAGUGUAGAGGUGAAAUUCGUAGAUAUUGGGAAGAACACCGGUGGCGAAGGCGGCCAUCUGGACGGACACUGACGCUGAGGCGCGAAAGCGUGGGGAGCAAACAGG
rnacentral:rRNA from 1 species